CCCGGGGGGUCGCUGUGAGGCGGCUGAGAUUGGCGUAUGCCUGACCCGUAAUACCUGAUGCGGUUCAUACCGACGUAGGGAGUGUAAC
rnacentral:ncRNA from 1 species